UGCUUGAACAGACGUGAAAUGAG
rnacentral:piRNA from 1 species